GGUUAAGCGACUAAGCGUACACGGUGGAUGCCCUGGCAGUCAGAGGCGAUGAAGGACGUGCUAAUCUGCGAAAAGCGUCGGUAAGGUGAUAUGAACCGUUACAGCCGGCGAUGUCCGAAUGGGGAAACCCAGUGCAAUUCGUUGCACUAUCGUUAACUGAAUACAUAGGUUAACGAGGCGAACCGGGGGAACUGAAACAUCUAAGUACCCCGAGGAAAAGAAAUCAACCGAGAUUCCCCCAGUAGCGGCGAGCGAACGGGGAGCAGCCCAGAGUCUGAAUCAGCUUGUGUGUUAGUGGAACGGUCUGGAAAGUCCGACGGUACAGGGUGAUAGUCCCGUACACCAAAAUGCACAGGCUGUGAACUCGAAGAGUAGGGCGGGACACGUGGUAUCCUGUCUGAAUAUGGGGGGACCAUCCUCCAAGGCUAAAUACUCCUGACUGACCGAUAGUGAACCAGUACCGUGAGGGAAAGGCGAAAAGAACCCCGGCGAGGGGAGUGAAAAAGAACCUGAAACCGUGUACGUACAAGCAGUGGGAGCACCUUCGGGUGUGACUGCGUACCUUUUGUAUAAUGGGUCAGCGACUUAUAUUCUGUAGCAAGGUUAACCGUAUAGGGGAGCCGCAGGGAAACCGAGUCUUAACUGGGCGUUAAGUUGCAGGGUAUAGACCCGAAACCCGGUGAUCUAGCCAUGGGCAGGUUGAAGGUUGGGUAACACUAACUGGAGGACCGAACCGACUAAUGUUGAAAAAUUAGCGGAUGACUUGUGGCUGGGGGUGAAAGGCCAAUCAAACCGGGAGAUAGCUGGUUCUCCCCGAAAGCUAUUUAGGUAGCGCCUCGUGAAUUCAUCUUCGGGGGUAGAGCACUGUUUCGGCUAGGGGGUCAUCCCGACUUACCAACCCGAUGCAAACUACGAAUACCGAAGAAUGUUAUCACGGGAGACACACGGCGGGUGCUAACGUCCGUCGUGAAGAGGGAAACAACCCAGACCGCCAGCUAAGGUCCCAAAGUCAUGGUUAAGUGGGAAACGAUGUGGGAAGGCACAGACAGCCAGGAUGUUGGCUUAGAAGCAGCCAUCAUUUAAAGAAAGCGUAAUAGCUCACUGGUCGAGUCGGCCUGCGCGGAAGAUGUAACGGGGCUAAACCAUGCACCGAAGCUGCGGCAGCGACACUAUGUGUUGUUGGGUAGGGGAGCGUUCUGUAAGCCUGCGAAGGUGACCUGUGAGGGUUGCUGGAGGUAUCAGAAGUGCGAAUGCUGACAUAAGUAACGAUAAAGCGGGUGAAAAGCCCGCUCGCCGGAAGACCAAGGGUUCCUGUCCAACGUUAAUCGGGGCAGGGUGAGUCGACCCCUAAGGCGAGGCCGAAAGGCGUAGUCGAUGGGAAACAGGUUAAUAUUCCUGUACUUGGUGUUACUGCGAAGGGGGGACGGAGAAGGCUAUGUUAGCCGGGCGACGGUUGUCCCGGUUUAAGCAUGUAGGCUGGUUGUCCAGGCAAAUCCGGAUAAUCAAGGCUGAGGUGUGAUGACGAGGCACUACGGUGCUGAAGUAACAAAUGCCCUGCUUCCAGGAAAAGCCUCUAAGCAUCAGGUAACAUUAAAUCGUACCCCAAACCGACACAGGUGGUCAGGUAGAGAAUACCAAGGCGCUUGAGAGAACUCGGGUGAAGGAACUAGGCAAAAUGGUGCCGUAACUUCGGGAGAAGGCACGCUGGUGUGUAGGUGAAGUCCCUGCGGAUGGAGCUGAGACCAGUCGAAGAUACCAGCUGGCUGCAACUGUUUAUUAAAAACACAGCACUGUGCAAACACGAAAGUGGACGUAUACGGUGUGACGCCUGCCCGGUGCCGGAAGGUUAAUUGAUGGGGUUAUCCGUAAGGAGAAGCUCUUGAUCGAAGCCCCGGUAAACGGCGGCCGUAACUAUAACGGUCCUAAGGUAGCGAAAUUCCUUGUCGGGUAAGUUCCGACCUGCACGAAUGGCGUAAUGAUGGCCAGGCUGUCUCCACCCGAGACUCAGUGAAAUUGAACUCGCUGUGAAGAUGCAGUGUACCCGCGGCAAGACGGAAAGACCCCGUGAACCUUUACUAUAGCUUGACACUGAACAUUGAGCCUUGAUGUGUAGGAUAGGUGGGAGGCUUUGAAGCGUGGACGCCAGUCUGCGUGGAGCCAACCUUGAAAUACCACCCUUUAAUGUUUGAUGUUCUAACGUUGGCCCCUGACCGGGGUUGCGGACAGUGUCUGGUGGGUAGUUUGACUGGGGCGGUCUCCUCCCAAAGCGUAACGGAGGAGCACGAAGGUUAGCUAAUCCUGGUCGGACAUCAGGAGGUUAGUGCAAUGGCAUAAGCUAGCUUGACUGCGAGCGUGACGGCGCGAGCAGGUGCGAAAGCAGGUCAUAGUGAUCCGGUGGUUCUGAAUGGAAGGGCCAUCGCUCAACGGAUAAAAGGUACUCCGGGGAUAACAGGCUGAUACCGCCCAAGAGUUCAUAUCGACGGCGGUGUUUGGCACCUCGAUGUCGGCUCAUCACAUCCUGGGGCUGAAGUAGGUCCCAAGGGUAUGGCUGUUCGCCAUUUAAAGUGGUACGCGAGCUGGGUUUAGAACGUCGUGAGACAGUUCGGUCCCUAUCUGCCGUGGGCGCUGGAGAAUUGAGGGGGGCUGCUCCUAGUACGAGAGGACCGGAGUGGACGCAUCACUGGUGUUCGGGUUGUCAUGCCAAUGGCACUGCCCGGUAGCUAAAUGCGGAAGAGAUAAGUGCUGAAAGCAUCUAAGCACGAAACUUGCCCCGAGAUGAGUUCUCCCUGAGACUUUAAGUCUCCUGAAGGAACGUUGAAGACGACGACGUUGAUAGGCCGGGUGUGUAAGCGCAGCGAUGCGUUGAGCUAACCGGUACUAAUGAACCGUGAGGCUUAACCUU
rnacentral:rRNA from 1 species